UGGGGAAUAUUGCACAAUGGACGGAAGUCUGAUGCAGCAACGCCGCGUGCGGGAUGACGGCCUUCGGGUUGUAAACCGCUUUUUCUCAUGACGAAGUUUUUUGACGGUAGUGGGGGAAGAAGCCCCGGCUAACUACGUGCCAGCAGCCGCGGUGAUACGUAGGGUGCGAGCGUUGUCCGGACUUAUUGGGCGUAAAGAGCUUGUAGGCGGUUUGUCGCGUCGAUAGUGCAAACUCAGUGCUUAACGCUGAGCCUGCUGUUGAUACGGGCAGACUAGAGGAAGGUAGGGGAGAAUGGAAUUCCCGGUGGGGCGGUGGAAUGCGCAGAUAUCGGGAGGAACACCGGUGGCGAGGGCGGUUCUCUGGGCCUUUCCUGACGCUGAGAAGCGAAAGCGUGGGGAGCGAACAGG
rnacentral:rRNA from 1 species